rnacentral:rRNA from 1 species
GACAGAGGGUGCAAACGUUGUUCGGAAUUACUGGGCAUAAAGCGCACGUAGGUGGUCCGCUAAGUCGCGUGUGAAAUCCCCCGGCUCAACCGGGGAAAUGCGCGUGAUACUGGCGGGCUUGAGAUCGGGAGGGGUGAAUGGAACUCCAGGUGGAGCGGUGAAAUGCGUAGAUAUCUGGAGGAACACCGGUGGCGAAAGCGGUUCACUGGCCCGACACUGACACUGAGGUGCGAAAGCUAGGGUAGCAAACGGG